CCAUCAUCCAGGUACCGAGGCUGCAUCCUCCAGAUGAUGCAAAAGACAGACUCAGACUCGGAUCGAACGCUC